GUGGUAGUCCAGAAAAUAUGGCAGGUGCCACACCUGUGUCUGCUGGAUUGACCUGAGCCAGACAAGGGCAAGGAGCUAGGUGGGGAGGGGGAGGAGGGGAAGUGGGCCUGGAGCCGGGGCCAGCUGGGCGCUGCCGGCCUGCCAGCCAGGUCCGCUCAGGCCUUGCCAAGCUCCUCGGGAACAAGGAGGAAGAAGGCAGACGCCCGGUUCUGAGGCAGGUGCCAGGCAGUAGGGACUUAGGCACAGGACGGAAGCCUGCAGUCUGUCUGCAGCUGCGGCACCAGAGAGGUGGUAACUUGCAGGUAGCAGGACGGGAAUGUAUCAACGAGGGCCAUCACCACCGCCAUCAUCUCACAUGACUCCAGCCUCCACGGGGGAACGGUGUCCCUUCUAUGUCCAGAAGCCUUAAGUGGAUCCCCCAAAAUCACAAGCUGGAGGCCGGGGCAAGCUACAUGUGAGAAGGCAAGCAGCCUGCAGCAAGGCUCAGGUGAUGUCUGCACGGCCUGACAUCAAACCUACAGGAAAUUCCCUAGGACGAGCAGGAAGAAACCCAGGAACUACUGACAUAACAAGAAAAACUAUUUCACUCUCUUUUCUUCUCUGGCCGCACUGCGCGGCCUGCGGGAUCUCAGUUCCGGACCAGGGAUCGAACCCGCACCCCCUGGAGCGGAAGCGCGGAGUCUUAACCACUGGACCGCCAGGGAAGCCACCCACCCUCUUUUCUAUUCUCAAAGUAUAAAUGGUUGCUCGUCAUUUCUAAGAGGCUAACUUCAAGAAUUAGUACGUAAAUAGUAACAUUAACCAGGGAGAUGAUCCAGGAAGGCCUAAAGAGAAAGGCUUCGUAAGACCUGUGGCCGCAUCCUGUCAGUCCUGUCACUUGUCACCUCCCAAAGGCUAGAAGAGGCUACACAGCUCAUACGAGGGCCUGGCUCUCAGGAAAUGGCUCGAGGCUAGAUUUCCUGGAGAAGGAAGAGGAAAGGGAAUCACGGGUAAAUGAAGAGAAACUUAGCUCCCUGUAGACUGAGGGCCUCAGUAAACCUUGUUCGUCUGUCUGAGUAUCACACAGGAAAGACCAGGCAGAGAGCCGGCCUGGGCUCACACAUCAGAUCUAUUUCCAGCCUGGGCAACAGAUGCACUCUCUGAACCUCAGUUUACUCAGCUGUAAAAUGGGCAAUAAUGCAAGAGCUCACCCACAUCAUAGGAAAAAUGAAGAGAUAGUCAUGGGAAAGCUUGCUGGCCCAGCGCCCG